rnacentral:rRNA from 1 species
CAGCACCUCAAGUGGUCAGGAUGAUUAUUGGGCCUAAAGCAUCCGUAGCCGGCGCUGUAAGUUUUCGGUUAAAUCUGUACGCUCAACGUACAGGCUGCCGGGAAUACUGCAGCGCUAGGGAGUGGGAGAGGUAGACGGUACUCGGUAGGAAGGGGUAAAAUCCUUUGAUCUAUUGAUGACCACCUGUGGCGAAGGCGGUCUACCAGAACACGUCCGACGGUGAGGGAUGAAAGCUGGGGGCGCAAACCGGAUUAGAUACCCGAGUAGUCC